GAAAAGAAAGGGAGUCAACACGGCAUUAUUUGAAACCUAUUUUUUAUGAUUGAAAUGUUGCCUUGAGUGUCGUUUUACUUUAAUUUUAUUGUUAACAACUUAGUCAUACGACUUAGCUGAGUGCCGUAUUGUGUUCAGGGGUUCUUUCUUCUCGAUUCUUCUCAUUCUGUUGAAGGUUGUUGCUGGCACAAAACUCUAUGAUUUGUUUUGUGCUUUGCUAUUAUUUUUUCUAUUUUCUGCACUCACCAC
rnacentral:lncRNA from 1 species